rnacentral:rRNA from 1 species
ACGCACGCUGGCGGCGUGCUUAACACCUGCAAGUCGAACGGAAAGGCCCUGCUUUUGUGGGGUGCUCGAGUGGCGAACGGGUGAGUAACACGUGAGUAACCUGCCCUUGACUUUGGGAUAACUUCAUGAAACUGGGGCUAAUACCGGAUAGGAGCUCCUGCUGCAUGGUGGGGGUUGGAAAGUUUCGGCGGUUGGGGAUGGACUCGCGGCUUAUCAGCUUGUUGGUGGGGUAGUGGCUUACCAAGGCUUUGACGGGUAGCCGGCCUGAGAGGGUGACCGGCCACAUUGGGACUGAGAUACGGCCCAGACUCCUACGGGAGGCAGCAGUGGGGAAUAUUGCACAAUGGGCGGAAGCCUGAUGCAGCAACGCCGCGUGCGGGAUGACGGCCUUCGGGUUGUAAACCGCUUUCGCCUGUGACGAAGCGUGAGUGACGGUAAUGGGUAAAGAAGCACCGGCUAACUACGUG